UACGUAGGGUCCGAGCGUUGUCCGGAAUUACUGGGCGUAAAGAGCUCGUAGGUGGUUUGUCGCGUUGUUCGUGAAAACUCACAGCUCAACUGUGGGCGUGCGGGCGAUACGGGCAGACUAGAGUACUGCAGGGGAGACUGGAAUUCCUGGUGUAGCGGUGGAAUGCGUAGAUAUCAGGAGGAACACCGGUGGCGAAGGCGGCAUCCUGGACCGACACUGACACUGAGGAGCGAAAGCCAGGGGAGCAAACGGG
rnacentral:rRNA from 1 species